rnacentral:rRNA from 1 species
CAAUAGCGUAUAUUAAAGUUGUUGCAGUUAAAAAGCUCGUAGUUGGAUUUGUGGCGUACGGUGGGUUCCGGGCACUUGUUGUCUGAGUAACUUGCUGUUGCCAUCCUUGGGUGGAACCUGUGUGGCAUUAGGUUGUCGUGCAGGGGAUGCCCAUCAUUUACUGUGAAAAAAUUAGAGUGUUCAAAGCAGGCUUAUGCCGUUGAAUAUAUUAGCAUGGAAUAAUGAGAUAGGACUUUUUUGCUAUUUUGUUGGUUUGCGCAAAGAGGUAAUGAUUAAUAGGGACAGUUGGGGGUAUUCGUAUUCCAUUGUCAGAGGUGAAAUUCUUGGAUUUUUGGAAGACGAACUACUGCGAAAGCAUCUACCAAGGAUGUUUUCAUUAA